AGAGUAUGAAUGAUGAUGCAAGCGGUUAUAUUGCAUUUUCAAAUUAAAUUAGUCAUCUUUUUUUUUAACGUUAAUACAUAUUCAGUAAGCUUUCAUCACACGGGAUAUUCAUAUUUCCCAGGUCUGAAUGCAACACUAUGUCACGCUAAUUUACACCGUGCUACUUAGACGACAAUCCUCCUGUUUUUGGCCUGACAGGACGUGAGGCGCAUCAUCCAACGUCUUUCAGUCGAAAGAAUAACAUAACAUGCGACAGUCCCGUUAGCUCCCCGCCGCGAUCGCCUCCUCUGAAAACGGAAUCAGACAAGAGAGCUCCCCUUAAAUCGUCUAGGAUGUCAUCAUCCGGCGGUCGAUCACUGGUAGAAAACAUGCGUUGGCAAACCUCGUUUUGAACUCAGAGUCGCCUUCAGUUAAGAUGUUUCUUUACUACAAUGACAACGUGGACUUUGCAAAAGAUACAUUACUUCAUGUUUCAGUAUGCCAAGACAGUGGGCGAGGAAAACGAAUAGGGGGGUGUUGCAUCAGAUGAAGUGAGGCAGGGUAGAACAGUGAGGUCAGUCGCCAAAGACUACUCCAUCUGCCACGUGACACUGAGCAGGCACUGCAAGGAAUCAAACCCUCAGAGAGCAAGGUUCAAGAAAGCUGCCCAGUGUGGCCUAUCACAGCAGUCAGGAAGUCUUCGAUGCACAGCAAAUUCCAAACCCAAAGCAAGGUGUAAAUUGUAAGUUCUAGGCCCACGAAGAGCUGCGCUCAUGGAAAACCUUCAUACAUCUGUCACUGCUGUGACUCUGAUCCCUCUGAUUAGAUGGAUAACACACACAGAUACACUCACUCAGGUUCAUGUUUUAUCAUUUAAGUUUGUUGUUUUACUAAUUGUCAAACAUCUUCCUGUGAUUUUACGUGGAUCAUGAGCUAAUUCUGACCUCCUGCUGAAGGUUUCUAUUUUUAUGUGUAUAAUUUUAAUAGGUAUUAUCAUAAAAUUUUCUUUAGGAAAGCUCUUCUAAUGUUAGGAUCCACACCACUGACGCUGUUCUUUAUUUAGCCAUCAGUGAUGAUUUUUUUUUCUUAGUGAAGCACAGGAUGAUGCUUUAGUGUCAGCACAUGCACAAUAAACCUAUAUAGAGGCCUA